rnacentral:rRNA from 1 species
GUUUGAUCAUGGCUCAGAUUGAACGCUGGCGGAAUGCUUUACACAUGCAAGUCGAGCGGCAGCGCGGGGCAACCUGGCGGCGAGCGGCGAACGGGUGAGUAAUGCAUCGGAACAUGUCCAUGUCGUGGGGGAUAGCCCGGCGAAAGCCGGAUUAAUACCGCAUACGCCCUUCGGGGGAAAGCCGGGGACCGCAAGGCCUGGCGCGAUUGGGUUGGCCGAUGUCCGAUUAGCUAGUUGGCGGGGUAAAGGCCCACCAAGGCGAUGAUCGGUAGCUGGUCUGAGAGGAUGAUCAGCCACACUGGGACUGAGACACGGCCCAGACUCCUACGGGAGGCUGCAGUGGGGAAUCUUGCGCAAUGGGCGCAAGCCUGAUCCAGCAAUGCCGCGUGAGUGAGGAAGGCCUUAGGGUUGUAAAGCUCUUUCACCCGCGACGAUGAUGACGGUAGCGGGAGAAGAAGCCCCGGCUAACUUCGUGCCAGCAGCCGCGGUAAUA